rnacentral:misc_RNA from 1 species
UGAUAUGCGAGGCUACAAGAUAAAUGUCUCUAUGGCUGAGAAGACUGCACUUAGAGCUCCACCUGCUUAUGGCCAAGGGGGUGGUGGCAGAGGUGGUUACGGUGGUGGUGGAGACAGGCGCAGAGACAAUUUCAGGGAUGGUGGUGGUUCCGGGCCUGAUAGGCACCAAUAUGGCGGCCAGCGCUCGCGUCCUUACUGAUGAUGGCGGAAUAUAUGUACUAAGGAUGUGAUCUGCCUCUGCCAGCUCUUUCUAUUCUAUCUUGUCUGAAGUUGUACUCUUGUUAAGGUAGGUUUCUUAAUGUUAUCUCGGCGACCUGCAUGCUUUUUUCUAUCGAAAAUUGGAUGGACCUCAUAUGGUUCUGGACCUUCAAUUAAUAUUGG